GUUUGUGGGUGUGUUGGCAGGGGCAUCCUGAGUGGAUAAAAGCUUUUGGAGGAGCAGCGUGAGCCCCAGCGUUGCAGAGGGAGCCAUACUGGGACUUGCUGUGGGUAAAACCACAGCGGGUGUUGCUGGGGUGGACAAGGAGGUGAAGAUGCCAGCCCAGAAAAUCUUUAAAUGCUUCCAAUGCAGGAGCAGCCCCACUCCUGUUAAUCUGGGGGCUCAUCCCUGCUGCUCUGACUGGGUCUGCGGGAUCCUCUGCUCCCCAGGUCAGCAGUCCAGGCACCCAGUAUCCCCUGGGAUGGCUCCCUGCCCUCUCUGCCUGGGUGUCUUGCUGGGCAUUGAAGGGGCUGGAGGGAAAACCAGGUUGUAAUGAGGAGUGUGUGCCCUCCUGCCCUGCUAGAGCCCCUCCAGAAGACGUUCAUCACUUUUCACCGUUCUCUCAUUCAGAUGAAGGCUGAUGUCUCCACACGCAUCCCUGCUCAGGACCAUGCAGGUCUCCCCUGUGAGACCUUGGCGUCAGGGCUGAUGGAGGCUUUGCUGAGCCCAUGAACUCCUGGUUUUCCAUGGCAUGAGGGUGCUCCCAAGCCAGGCCCAACAAGAGGGCCUGAGCAGGGUCAGCUUUUUCCUUCCUGCCUUUUCUGAGCCUUUUCCUACCAGUGUAACCCAGCUUACCAAACAUCAGCCAUCUGGUGCUGCUUCUUCACAGCACUUUACUUGGAGCAAAGGUGUGGGGCGCCCGCAAGCUCUGUGUGCAGCGAGGUAUCAUUUGCUUGCGCGUUGAGAAGCAAAUCCUGCAGCAGGGGACGGCUGCUGUGCCUGCUUUCCCCAGCUGAUGAUGUUGGGGAGGAGAAGGCACAUCGGGAGAGAAUGACUUCAUGGAGCUACUCCGGGAAUCGGUCACCCCCUCCUCGCGGCGAGGGCUGCUGGAAAGGAGCCCAGGCGAAGCGCUGCCAAUGAUGUCUUCAUCCUUGUACCCCGUUACAGGCAGUGUUUGCAAAUGCUGAGGCGAUGCUCUCCAUUGAGGAGCCAGCUUGGCUUUUGGUGGCUCUGCUCAAAGCCCUGAGAGCCUCACAGUGCGUUUUGGCUUGUGGGUCAGAGCGCUGGGUUUGCAUGGCUCUGGUGGAGUUGAAGAGGUAAAAGCUGGCAGUUUGACUGAUUUCCCUGAAGUAAGUGAACUGCCUGAAUGAUGAAGCUUGUACGGCUGUUUCUGGACCCCACAGCUCUACAAGAUGAGGUUUUUCUCCUUUACAGAUGUAGUGAUGUUCUCCAGCUGCACCUGAAGCACAGUGGGGAUCUCAUGCAGCUCAGCUCCCUUGGGCUGAAUUGAUCGCUGGUAGGACAAACCCAGGUCUCAGCACGCUGUGAGAUAUCCCUGCAACCCGUGGGCACAAGAGAGGGGCGUUGCAGAAACACUCCAGUCCUGGUGCAAGGGCUGCGUGUGGCCAGAACCCUUCUGCUGGGUGUUGUGCAGAGAGAAGCCCCGUCCCCUGCAGCACGGGGCUGUUUUUGCGAGGGCAAGAAGCAGCUUCAUCAAAAGGCAUCUCCACUGGAGUGCUAAAAAUGCUUUUAAAUGAUCUGGUUUGCAUUGGGAACAGGGAGAAAUGCGGAAUGGCUGGUUCCUGUAAGCUGUUUCAUGUAAAACACCACAGGAUGGGAGGAAUUAAUUCAUCUCACUGUCUUCGUUGGAUGGGUGCAGGCCACAGCCCUGGGAAGUGAUUGAUGGGGCUGUGGAAGGCGGUUGCCUCCCUUGCUUUGAUCCAAACCAGGGCGAGGAUCCAUGCUGGCUGUCCGGAGACCUGGGGUCACACUGGCAUCCUGCAGUGCCAGAGCCUGAGAUGAGAGAUGGCUUUUCUUUGAAGUCAGGAUCAAUAAUCCUCCUCUCUGCUCCUCUGUUGGGGAAGAUGUGGCAAAGCCUUUGCUAAGUUCAGGUUAGCACUUUAAGAACAGUGAUGAUUUCUAGCAGCCUGUCUUCUAGGUAAGGAACCCAUUUCAAGCCUGUGGUUACUUAUAUUAAAUAACUGAGAUUUAGUCCGUUUACCCUGCACUUUUUCGUGUCCCGAGUGACCACGCCAUGUCAAGCACAAGACAAAGCAAUUAGGGGAGGUGGAUUCCAUGCCCAGCACCACUGCUGGGACAUCACUGUGCCUUGGAGCUGCACCAGCUCCUCUGCUCGAUGACGGAGCGCUCAGAGGUGUCGAGGGUUAUGCUGGCCACAUGCUGAGCAUCUCAAGCAGGAGGUAACACAGCGGUAGCAUACGGAGUGCUCUGGGAGCCCUGGGAAGCUCUGGUGCGCGGCUGGGAGCUGUUGCAUCUUGCUGUGUAAUGAAACCCUGCCGCACCUGUGCAAAUAUCCCCGUAGCCUGAGGCUUGGGUGGAAAUGUGUUGGAUCAUUAAAUCAAGCUACUUAAGAGCUACUUGAAGAUGGAAGAUGUGAAAUCAGGCAUAUAAAAUGGCAAUCGUGUCUAGACGAUUCCCCGAGCAUCUGUCUGCCUCAAAACAGAGCUGUUGUUCACAGUGACUCUGGUUCUUGGCUUCUGCCGCUGGGGUGACAGGCAGAGCUUGCUCACAUGGAAAGCCCAGCUAAGCUUCCGCUCAGUCUUUGCAGAGCGGUUGGGGCUCGCCUGAAAAGGCCAGCAUGUCACCUUGGAUUGAGGAACCAGCCAGCGAGUUCAGGUUGAUGAUGCCUGUUAGGACAGUUCCUAAGGGACCUGUUAGGACAGGUCCUAAGGGACAUCGAGGAGAGCUGUGUGAAUCUGGGAUGCAGAGUCUUGAGGGAGAAUUGGUCCUGCUUUGUGGAAACAUUCAUGCUGCUUUUAGAAAGGCUCUGCUUUAGCUCUCUGCAUUUGUGCUUCCUCCUUGUCUCCUCCUUCCCCCUGGACUGAAAUCCCAAGGAACUGGGAAGAAAGCUGGGUAGGAAGAGAAGCCUUUUAAUGCAAAAGGAGCCACAGGGUGAACUGAUAUGUGCCCUGGCCUCCUGUAUUUGGGAACUUCUUUAGAGUGGUGCUGCACGCCACCCAGAAGGCCGUUCCGAGCAUCUCACUGCCUGUGUGCGUCCCUGGGGUGUUCUGUGUUGCUCCCUCACCUUUGCUUCCCAGGGCACGAGAACUCCUGACAGCCAGGGACCCUGCACUGGGGUUUAGUAACACAACAGCUUCUCCUCUGGUAGUCAAGACUGCAGGGCAGCAAGCUCCUUGCAGGGGGGAUUUCAUGCUACAUGUUCAUCCUACAGCUCCUCUGUGGAGAAUGACAUAUCUUGCCUUGAGGCAAGGGGAUGGAUCAGAUCCUGGGAGCAACAGUUUUCCCUUGGAGACUUGUGCAGAGCCGGAGCAGCUCCUGAGCUUGAUGCUUGCGCCACACCAGGCCACACUGGUACGGGGUGAUGGGGCACCCAGAUUUUGGCUGGCAGGAGCAGCCAGCCCACAGGAGCGAUGGAGGCUGCAGGAUCCCGCUAUGAGUCCUGCUCAACUGCUUCUUUCAGAGGAACUGUCUGCUCUGGUGCAGGACAGGGCUGGAGACCAUUUACUGGUGAGGAGCAGAGGAAUGGGUUCAAAAGUGGAUGUUUUGGGAGUGAUUUAGCUGCAGAACAUCUCUUUGGGAUAGCUGUGGGGACAAGCUGUUGGUACCUUGAUGGGUACAGUAUCCCCAGCCCAUGAGCAUGUUUCAUAAGGCUGUUUCUUUUGGUGCUGCCUGUUCCCUCCAUGCAGCUUAUUGCUAAUGAGUCUCCACAUCCUACUUAGGAGACAGAGCUGAUGCUGAUGAGGCUUCAGCCAGUACCUGGGUGCCCGGUGGAAGGGCUGUCAUGCUGUGUCUGAAACCCAAGCGCAAUUACGUGGCAUCUGCUACGCUGCGAGGAGCUGCCUGGAUCAGACACAGGCUGCUUCCCUGCCCGCAGAAGAUACCAGCAACAGCCAGUAAUCAGUUACUUCUUAUUGCCGAAGCACCACUGAUUUUUACCAGCAGGCUCUUCUCCCUGUGACUGUGGCACCAAGGCGCUCGGUGUGUGCUGGGCUGGGGCAGAGGGAAGGGCAGCCGGCGCGGUGAGGCGGGAUGGAAGGGCAGCGGUUUUCAGUGUGGACAAACAGGACCUGGGCAACUUGUUUCCCUUCAGUUUCGCUGCUGGUUUUCUUCCAUCCCUGUGUGGGAUGUUCCAUUUGCCUCUGUUUGCACGGCACCUGGUUGGUCUGUAAAUCCCUGUCCCCUGCAUUGGGACAGAUGCAAACACUUUGUCACCCAUCGGCUCUCCAGGUGACAUUUGGCACACGCUUCCCUACACUCCUGUCAUCUCCUUACAGUUGUAGCUCAGAAGCUCCUCUAGGGCUGUAGCAUCUGCUAUCUUUAGCUUUUAGCUCUGAAACGCGCAUCAGCUUUAUCACGUGUUUAGCGCUGCUGACCGUGGAAUGUACCUGGGUAUUAAGUAACUUCCCAAGCUGUGUCUAGCUCAGACUGAUGUGAUUUAGGACUGUUUCUUUCCACUUGGGUCAUGGAGAGCAUUUGCAUACGUAAUUAGAAGAAACCUCUGCAACCCUCUGAAACCCUCUGCAACCUGCUGGUGGGAGAGGCAAUAGCAGGAGGGACUUGUGGGGGUUUGCCUGAAGAAAGAUAAAGUGCAAGUCUACUGCAUAUGUUUCAGUGGGCCUGAAGAUACCUUAAAUAUUUUGAAGAGGACCAAAACUGAUGCCAGGUAGUUGCCCAUCACUGCCAGAGAGGGUAUUUGGAAACCAAAUGCCCAACUCUAGAGCUUGGUGUUUUUUAUUGUCUCUUUCUUAGGCACAGGGCUCAGCAUGUGGGACCUGUCGCUCCUCCACAGGACAGGGGCUGGACAGCCCAACGUGGUGAAUAACACGAUGGCUGUACCCCCUGUCCAAAGUGGCCUUGGGCAGCUCCCAUUAGAUCGCUUUAAAUCCAGCCCCGCUUGGCCUCUGUGUCCGAUUUAAACAGCAUGACUGAAUACUUGCCGAUGGGGAAGCCUUGUUUGAUUGUGGAGGUAAUAAGAUGAUUCGAACACAAGAGCUGAUAGUUUCAAGUAACUGGAACUUAACCUCGCCGUAUAAAGCGUUAUUGUCCUGCCACAGAAAUCCUCUGUCUGGGAGAGCACAGCUGCAGGGAAAAUAAAUGCUGCUCUUCUUUUUUUCUUUCUUUCUAUUUUUGCUGCUUGUUUGUUUAAAGCCCAGGGCCCUCGGGUUGGUCUGCUCUUGUUGGCUGUGGUGGAGCGGUGGUGGGAUGCGGGCGCUGAGCUUUGCCCUGGGAGCUGGGGCUCACCGGGGGACUGCGGGGUGAAUUCCCUUUAAUCCAGGGAAUUAAAUCCCAAUCAAAGCCAUUGUCAGUAAUGGAUUUAGUCGAGAUACAGGCCAAAUCCUGGCCCCAUUGAAGUUAAAUGGGAGCUUUAGCUGCUGGUUUCAGAGGGGUCAGGGCUGGGACCUGCUGCCAGAUGUGAAGCACAUCUGUCCUAUUGACCUCAGUGGGACAGGCUGCCCUGGCCAGGGUGAGCACACGGCUGGGAUCCUGUUCCCCAGGCAGUGCAAUGUUUGCAGAGCAGUAGGGAUGACAGCAGGUGCCCUGGUUGUUCUCUCCUUCCCUGUGCAGGUUCUGGCUCUAAAGCACGGCUGCCUGUGAAACCUCACCAAGUGGCAGCUGCUAAUUCUUCAUCUGUCUUCUCAGAACCAUCUCCUGAUACAGAAACAGCUCAUUGCUGCGUGUAACCAGCAGGAAUGCCAGGUCUUGCCAGCAUCUGGUUUGGGUGUCGAGACAAAUGGCUCUGGGAUGGCCUUAUCUGUGGGUGGCAAACCACCACCACCAGUAUUGCACCAGGGCUGCUGUUCACCUGCUGCUGUCAUGCCAUGGAGCCAGGACAAGCCCUCCCAGACAGGCUGACCAUCCUAGGUGUGUUAUAAAUGGGGUAAAAAUAGAUAUAUAUUUGAAUAUGUAUAUGUGAGUGUCUGUUUUGGGCAGAAGCUGCAGGUCCCCAGGUACUGAGAGCCUCGGAGGCAGCUGCUUCCAUCAGUACUCCUGCCUUCCCAGAUGCUUGGGGCUGGAGAAACCUCAUCCAGCAGCUGUAUUGCACAAUUCACACAGCCGUGUUGCUUUUCAAGCAGUUUAGACUGUGUUUAUGAAGGUAAGAGGAUUUUUGUUGUUGUUGUUUAGUAGUUUUGUUGUUGUUGUUUAGUUUUGCUUUUUAAAAACUUAUUUUAUCAAAUUCUUUGCCCACACAAGUCAGUGGGGUGGACAGGCAGGGUCUUAGUCCAGUUGGGUUUGGGCAUGCUCAGUAAUCCCCACAGGGAUUUUUUUUUCUGGCAGGGCUGGGAUGCUCUCUUCCCGCUCAUAGCUACCAUAAAAACAUUUCCUCUGAUUAAGUUGCACUUAUUUAUUUGUCUGAACACACAGCAGGCCAAGCCUGUAUUUGUGUGUGUGCUCAAAUGUCUUCCAAAAGCCACUCCUACCACCCCUGCAAAAUAGUUGGAGGGUGAUACAAGAAUGAUGAAUAUCUGGCCAAGGGGAAUGCUUUGGAGUGAAUGAACGGGAGUUGUGAAUGGGAACGGCUCUGUCCACAGAGCACCGCGGCGGUGGUGACUUCACCCUGCGUGAGACCGAAAUAGCCGCGGUAAUGACCUUGUGUCCCAGGAGAGGGGCAAAGACCCCGAGUGCCCGGCCCAGGAAAGUCCCUCACGCAAGAAAGAGGCUUCAAGAGAUGCUGCAUCCAAGCUUUUAUUCUGGGCUUGAUCAAGGUCUGGGUUUAUGCUUCAUGGUUCACACUGAAAUCCAUGCUUAACUCGACAGUGGCUCACAAAGGGGAAGCAGUGAUUCGUAAUCUGUUGCGGGAAUCAGCUGUCCUGUUCAUCAAAGCUUACAGCAGCGUCACAGGAUAUUUGUUGAAAGUGUUGUAAGAAAUUCUACUGCCUGGGACUGAAAUAACGUCACUUUAUUCUUAAUAUCCAGGGAAAGCCUCGGAGAUUGUGUCCUUACUGAAUGCUGCUUCGUGUGCUAGUAAAAUCCUGCUGGUGUGAGUAUGUUUGUAGACACCUAUGAUUUUUUUAAACUUGCUCUUGGGAGCUAACAAAGUUUUAUUUUUUUUUUAUUAUUUUUCAAGUGUCGCCCCUGCAAGCUACUCAAACUUCUCCAAGGGAAUAUCUUCGCUGUUACUACUAAGUAGGUGCUUUUUAAAAGGAUUCGAAAAAUGAAGGCUGAAAUGAAAUCCAGGAAUAAUCAAAUCACACCGUUCUGAAAUUGGUUCUAAACUCAAACCUUUUUGGAGAAAUUUCUGUUUGAAACAUUGUGAGGGUUGUGUAUCGACCCUUCUGACUCAGAGUCCAGCCACAAAUCAUUUGUGAUUUGGAUGAGAAACAUGUGCAGCUUUGGUGGGGGUUGAAUUUCCAUUAGUGGAGAGAGACAUCCUGGCAGGUGAAGGUAUUACCUUUCUGCCCAAAAUUGGGUUCUUGGGCAGGGAUUGUUCCCACUCAGUAUUCCUGCUGCUGUCACCCUGGUGAUGCUCAGGCUGCCCCUUCCCUCCAAAUGAUUUUUCAUGGGGAUGUUGGCUUUCCUCAUUGAUGUAUCCCCAGCUCCGCCAAAAGCCUUUCUGCCAGUGGGAUGAAUUGGGUGAUGGGGUCACUGGGAAUGCUGUACCCCAGUAUGCACCAUCCAGCAGUGGAAGCGGGAGGGGACACCAGGUCCUGAGCCCUGGGCUCACCUUCUCCUGGCUGGGUGGUGCCACCCCUCCCAAGAGCACAGGACACCCAAACCCAUGAGCUGCUUUGCAUCCUCUUAAGUUAUUUUCUCUGGUUUGUGGGCAUUUUCCUUGGUCUUUUUUGAAUACUUGGGUUUUUGCUUAAAACCAUUGCAAUAAUGGGAAGUGGUUUUGACAGAAGAUCCAGCCCUUUUUCUUGUAUGUCCUCAGCACAGAGGCAGCAACUGUUGGAAAAAAACCCUGAAUAUUUUCCAGAUGACACGCUUCUCAUCUGUCCCCAUCAUGGGCACUGGGGAGAUGCAGGAGUGCUUCCCAACACCCAUUGCAGACUUUGCUCUGCCGGUAGGACCCUGAAUCUGCCACUUGCCCUUCUUUCCCAGGGCAGCAGAAACUGAGUCUCCAAGCUUGACAGAAGUUUUAUGGUCCAGUUUUCAGGCCCACACUGCCCAGAGCCCAGCCUGGCUCUGCACCUUCGAGGAGCUGACAGUGUGGGGCUCCAGGGACCAGGUGGCCCCUGCACCUUGCGUCUCCCCUAGUCCCCAUUUACACCACAUUUGUGUCUCCCUCAGGAGCUGCUGAUGUCCCAGGACCCCACCGCUCCUUUAACCUGAAGUUCUGGCUCUUCUGUGUUUCUGUUCUUCUCUCUGCUGCCCAUAAUUAGGGGUAGGUCUUGAGAAACAGACCUGUGCAGGAGUGGGAGUGGUGGUUGAUAUGGCUCAGGCUGGCUAAGGAGGGCCUCAGUAAUGGACUCAAAUCCACAAGGACCAGGGUAGCUUUACUCCAGGAUGGUUGUGAUCUCCUCAAAGGCCGCCUUAAGUGCCCACCUUCUCAACUUGGAGUCCUUCAGCAUGUACCAGACUCUGAUCCCAAGAAGCUCCAAGUCACGUGUCACUUCUGCAAAGCCUUGACCUGCCCAUCUCAAGCCAGAUAAAAGCUCCUGUUACCUUUCACAGGGGUCCAGAGCAGGGACCCUGGUUCUGCUUGUGUCUUCCCAGGUAGAGGUGGCUCCAGUUGCCAGUCUGACAUUGCUCUUCUCCACCAGAGACACACAGACAGGGAAACUAGACCAAAGCAUGGAUUUAUAUCUGCUUUGUCUCUUGAGAAAUCUCUUUUUCUUCUUUUGUUUGGUGACCCAUGCCUUAGCCCAGAUGGAGAAGAACUAUUUUAUGACACAUGGCUGGAAAAGAGAGGCUGAAUCAGAGAGCUUUGGCUGUGGCAGGACUGAAGGUGUGGUUUGAACAUGGGAGCUGGGAAACCUGGAACAGCCCCCCAGGAGCUUCCCUAGCUGCUCCCAAACCAUCUGCACCUCUGCUCGAGGCAACCCUGCUCCAGCAUCUGGAUUUCUCUGCAUGUGCCUUGAUCCUGGGGGGGUUGCAUGGAAACAGCCUGAUGUGAAAAUCCCUUCUUUGCACUGAAGGGGUUAAAGUCUGCUCCCUCCUUCUAGGCUGACCAUGGAAAAUGCCGCUCAUGCCAGGGACUAAAUGCAGGAUAGAAACUAGGGCUCCUAGGAUACAAUAAUACAAAUAAUACUAUUUGUUCCAUGAGCAGCGGAAACCAGAAAAGCCUCGUUUCCCAUGGGUUUGUGUCGUGGCGCAAAGGGUGCAUGUGGACUCUCACCAGCUGGUAAAAGCUGAACGCACACUCAUCAUCUCAGCAGCCGCCAAACUUCACAGAAUUUACAUUCCUGUAAUAACUGGAAGCCCCUCUACAGUGUGACUGAAAGUGUCCAAACAAAGGAGAGGAGGGGUGCAUGGAUGGUAUGGCUGCAUAAACCUAGUUUCCAUAAAAAUCAGGUUGUAAAAUGAAGGAUGCAGGCAGCACGUCUUCUUGGGAAGUUUAAUGAUGUUUCCACCAGUUUUUGCCCCGAACUACACAUCUGCUUUGUGAUGUUGCUCAUUUUGCUGGAGCCUCAAAAGGCAGAGGUGCUGGGUGACACAGCAACCAGGCUGGGGUGCUUUGGGUCCUCCUUUAUCCACAGCCUGCACUCGGCGUUUUCAGCACUGAUUGCCCCUGUGGCUUGGACCCAGGGAUGUCUUGGGGUUGGUGGAUGCUAGAAGCAGAGCCCUGCUGCCUUCUGCACCAGGCAUGGAGUAACUCUCUGAGCUGUAUCCAACGCCGGGAAUAUGCAGCUAUCACAUAACCAGCUUCUGGUGGACAGCAAAAAAAAGAAGCAGCUCACUAAAAAUGUCCUUGGAUGGAAAUACAGAAGAGCCAUAAGGAGGUGAUGGACCCUUCGUGUCCCCACUGGCUCAGCUGGCAGGUGGAGGCAGAUGCAUCUGAACAAAAUGAUUCUCUGCAAGGAUGAGACCAGGAGACAGUGGCCACCUCCAGCCAGUCUGUUUCCUUGCUGCUGGUGCUCACACAGAAAUUUGGCCUGGCAAAAAGCCAUUUCCCAGGUGACCUCCAUGCUGCUAUCACUGGAGGAGAUGCUACAUAGCAUCAGCCUUCCAGCUGGGCCUCUGCACACUAGGAGCAACCACCAGCAAGCUGCCUUUCCCAGGUGCUCUGGACUGGGUACUUGAACUGAGCGCCUUCUCUGAUGUCACAGGGCACUUCAUUGGCACGGAAAAGCCACUUGCCUCUAGCAGUUCCACCUGGGAGUUGUAUCCUCACACCCCAUGUUGGUUGCAUCCAACAAGUUUUUGAGUCCUUUUGUCCGCUGGCAAAAAGCCUGCAGAGAAAUCAGGAUGCCCCUGGGCUGUGUUCACUGCUGGAAAGAGCUGAACAAGGAUUUCGCUCUCCCUCUGCAGCUGACUCGAGAGAGAGCUGGAGGCCAAGCUGCACAGGGAACAACAUGCUCCUCAUGUGGCUCCUGCCUGUGCUGGAGGGAAACCUGCAACCCCUGUGCUGGGGGGUGAAGCUUUCUUGCCCGCAGGAUGCUCUUGCUGGGCUCUCAUGUUCCUGGGAAAGGCCGGGAGCUGGGGAGGGGAAGCCAAGGGCAAUGCUGCUGCAAGAAACUUCAGUCGGGACUCAACUCUUAAGCCUUCCUUCCAGUUACAGGGUUAGUUGUGGAGCCCUCUCCAUCCCUGCAGAAGAAAUACUGACUUGACUGUGAAGCUGUGUAUUGGAAUCUUGUGUUGCUAUGUUUGACCAUUUAAACCAAGGCUUCCUCACAGCUUUCCAGCAAGGAGGGCUGACGUGGCUGAAGAGUGAAGAAUUUAGCACAGAUAUAGUGGGUGGGUGACUUGUCUGACCAUUGCCAGCAGGGGCAAGGCCAUGCAUGUGAUGGAUGGGAAGGAAUGUGCGGUGUCUUGGACCUGAAGAAAACAAGACCUGGGGGUAAAACAUGGGGGAUGGGAACUUGCUCAAUGGUUGCUGCUGCUGAGCAUCUUCCCCUGCAAGUGGCCUCACCCUGGUUCAGCACUAGUGCAAGGAGCAACCAGCUCCAUCACUGGCAAAAUUGGGCUUGUACCUUUCUGUAGGUGUUUCAGGUCUGGUUGGCCCAGGGUCCUGCCCAGGAGCUGGGGAGCGUCUCCCCAACCUGCUGCAAGCACCAUGCACCCCCUGGCUCUCCCACUCUGGGCAGAUGUGCAGCCAGACCACGCAGAAUGUGUCCCCCACUAGAAUGUUAGUAUUUUCCAGUGAGCAAUGUAUGUUUUUUUUCUUUUGGUUUAAUUGCCUCAGAUUCAGUCUCCAUUUUAGAUCAAAGACCCCAAAAUCUUCAGCACAGUGGGAAGAGCUACAGAGAAAGAACAAAACAAAGGUCCUGGAGCAGCGGUUAUGCCGUCUGGUGUGUUGCAGCAGUGUCUGCUGCCUUGGACACAGGUUUGUGUUUGCUCCUUCUUCUGCCCUUUGCAGACGUGUGUGGAAAUGACUCAGAAACAAAGUGCCCAGCCUGCUACUGGAAGAGCGAAAGGCUGUUGGUGGAGCAUUGCUUGAAUGGAGAGACUGAGGAUGGUGCCGGCUUUCUGCAUUCAGAUCCAAACGGGUGGAAAAUGACCGUGGAUUGGUUGUCCAUUGCUGAGCUAGUUCCUAACGCUGAACGUCUUUAAAAAAAAGUAUCAUUUCUGGCACGCUGGCCACACUACUGAAGAGCUGUUCCUCUUCCACCUCCUCCUUCACCCACUCAGAUGAAAAGCUACAGGAAAUUGCUGCUUGAAAACAGCCCGGCCGCCUGGGAGAAGCUGCCAAGGAGCUGACGUGUGCGUGGGGCAGGCGGCCGAGGAUGCUGAAGCUGCAGAGCCGGGCAGGCGAUGGAGAUGUGAGCGGAUCGGAGGGGAGGUGCUCAGGUGGCACCAACAGGUCCUGCACUCCCUGUCCUGGGCCAUUCCUCUCUUGCCUGUUUUCUAAGGAGGAGGCUCUUUUUAUUUGGCAUACAAAAGGAUAAAUGAUUAUAAAUGGGGUAUGUAGAUAUGUCUUAAACUACACAAUGUUCAGUCUGUGUCUAAUACAUGCAUGAGACAGGCUUGAGAGUAGGUGUUAUUGGCUUUUUAAGUCCCAUAGAUAUCCUGUCCUGCUCUAUCACUGCAGUGACAGCCUGUGGAAGGUCUAAUGCCACAGGGAGCAUCAGAGCUGCCCUCUCUACUAGUCCUCCACAGGGAAGGAUUUUUGUAAGGGUGGUGGCACACGGUUUCCAUACCUGCUCAUUUAGAGCCAUUGCUGAAAGGAUAAAUAAUCUUAAAUGUGCUCCAUUUCUUCCUCCAGACGGAGCCUGGAGCCCAGGAAGCAGAGGCAGGGAAGAAGGGAACUGGCCAUUGCUCAACGAUGUUUUCUCAGUUUAGUUAGUUUGGAGCUGCCCUCCAUUGCUGGUGGAGCCCAUAGGGGCUCUUGGCUCCUGCUUAAACACAACCCCGCUUUCUCUCCUGGAUUUCAAAGCAAGCAUGGGGACCUCUCCAGUUUUUGUGUAACUAACUAUGCCAGCCAAAGCAUCAUGAAAAACCUGGGCCAAUAUUUCCCAGAAAAAUUACUUUUUGGCUCUGUAGAUUGGAUUUUUUUGCACUCAGGCAGAAGCACAACCCUUUCUGUAAAAAUGCAGGUUUCCUCAAACCCCAAAGAUGGAACCAGACUUUUCUUGGGUGCCCAGUGAAAGGCUGAGAGGCAAUGGGAACAAACUGAAGCAUGGGACAUGAUGAUUAAGCAUAAUAAAAGACUUUUUCACUGUGACAGUAGUCAAACACUGCAACAUUUUGCCCAGAGCUGUGGAGUCGCUGACCUUGGAGAUACUGGGAUACCCAACUGGGAUGCAGUACCUGCUCUAACAGAUGCUGCUGUGAGAUGCGGGUUGGACUGGACACUCCUCAGAGGUACCUCCAGCCUCAGCCCUUCUGGGCUUCUGUGACCACUUAGAGAUGAUCACAGAAAACAGAAAAAUGGGCUUCUUGGAGCCUUGAUUUUUGCUGCAGAAAUGUUUAAAGUGAGUGUUCACAUUCCCCAGGGCCUCCAGCACUCUGCAAACAGCUUUGCUUCUCUCUGGUUGCCACAGAACUUCUGGAUCUACCUGGAGACCUGCAUGGUGGAAAGGAGUUAACCUCUUAUAUGCAUGAAUGAAACACAGAGUAAACCAUCAACAAGUGACCUUCCCUGACAGAAUAACUCCUAUCUCAAUCCAGCCAGCCUGCCUGACUCCCUGGCACCCAAAAGCUUGCAAAGGUGAUGGGGAGGCACCAGCCCCACUCUGUGGAUGAGAAUAGUGCUGUAUAGAAAACUGUGGUUUUGCUCAAUGUGACGGAACAAACCAGAGGCCACCUCGGGAGCCCAGCUCACCUGAGCAAAUUCCCAGCUCACAAAAUACUGCUUCAAGUUGCCAGUCCACCGUUAAACUGCCAGGGUGGAGCGUCCUCUCUCAGCACUGGUGGAUAUUUGACCAUAGGCACCUGAAACAGGUGAAGACUCCUGCUAGAAGGAACUUAAUAGCUUUAUGGAUUGAUAUCUGGGCCAUAAUUUGUACCUGAUACCUGGUAUUAGAUGUUGCAAACAGCUGACUGAGCAAUGAGAAGAUAAGUCCUAGGAAGAUUUAGCUGCUACAGCCCAGAGUCGUUGGGGGAAGGGCUGUUUUGACAGCUGAGACUGGAAGGAAAACCCUUUCACAGUGCAUUGUUGUUGAGAAAAUGCAUGUUAAAAAGAAAAACAGAGACAUGCUUUUCAGAUGUUCAUUUUUAAGAAGAAAAUGUGGUUAAUGUCUGACCAGCCUCUGACUGCAGAUACUUUUGCUUUACUCUCCAAAUCCUUGGGAACCCUAGCUCUCCCCUAAGCUGCAGUUAGUGCCAUGGGUCCCCUCGUGGUGAGACAUCAUCUGCCCUUUCCUGAGACUUUGGCUGCUCCCUUGGCUCAAAUUAGUGUCUGUCACGUCCUGGAGAGCAAUUCUACUGCAGGGGCUAAGUUGGGACCUGGAGUGAAUUUUGGGUAGACAUCUGCUAACAAUGCAAUUACCUUGUGUUCUGCCAUGAUUCAUGGUUAUGGUCUUUGUUUCUAAAACAGAAGACAAAGAGCCGGGUGGAAAAGAGACAUCAAAACACAGCCUGCGGGUUUGGCAGUCAGAGAACUUGGGAAAAGAGAGGUGGUGGUGAUGGGAAUGAGGAACAGGAGAUGGCAGCUGCUUUGGCGUCACAGAAGAUAGACCAGGACGGACGAGGACAAAAGCGAUCUGAAGCCAAGCCGGCAAGACGUGACUGGGCACGGGGAAGUUGCUGGUCACCGUGCUGGGCAUUGAGUAGAAGGAUUAUUGGAGAGAGUCCUUUCUGCAGCAGAACAACAACCAGAAAGACACACACAACCCUGUGCGUUAGAAACCCGAGGCCAGUGGUGGUGUACAGCACAGAGACAAUGACCAUCCACAUGUAGAGGAGCUAUCGCUUUUUUGCUGUCCUUGUCAGAAGCACUUGGGACUCUGUGGAAUUGAGCCAAAACAUGCUAGUUUCUGGAGACGUUCUGAUCUUCUAGCUGCCAGCAAAGCCACAUACAUAGCGAGACAAACACCACCAAGACCCCUGAGUCCUGGCCAGUGCUGUUUUGCUGGAGGAGGUGCUCGCACGCAGCAUCCUGGCUCCAGCCUCCGUGCUUCUGUCUGCCACAUUUUGGGAAACCUUCUGGGUGUGAGGUCCCAUCUCCUUGGGAGGCCAUUUGAGGAGGGUGCCCACGGCUCCCUGCGAAGCAGAGAUUUCCUCUCUCGCGGAAGAAAUUCCCCCGGAUGGCAGGCGCGGCUGCUGCGGGGAGGAUGCAGGGCCUGGCGGGGGAAGCUGGAGGAUGAGGACUCGGGCCGGCCCUGGGCUGCGGUGCAUUGCGGGGCGGCGGACUCCAGAGGGCAGCACGCCGACAGGCUGGCACCCGCCCUGCCCGCUCCUGCCAGCCCUGCCCGCUCCUGCCCACCCUGCCAGCCCUGUCUGCUUCUGCCAGCCCUGCCUGCCCUGUCUGCCCUGCCUGCCCUGCUCACUCCUGACAGCCCUGCCCACCCUGCCAGCCCUGCCCGCUCCUGCCAGCCCUGUCCGCUCCUGCCUGCCCUGCCCGCUCCUGCCAGCCCUGCCUGCUUCUGCCAGCCAAGCCUGCUCCUGCCUGCCCUGCCUGCUCCUGCCAGCCCAGCCUGCGGGGCCACAAGGGGAACUCAGCGCGAUGAUCCGCACUUCUGAGGGCUGGGAGGUGAAUCUCUAUUGCCCCCCUCCUAGUGUCCACCAGCUCCUGGCUGGGCGGGCAGGGGAUGCCACACCAGCAUUAGGUGACGUUAUUUUGCUUCCAUCCUUUUCAGGGUGAAAUCUGGUCUUGUCUCUGCAGGUGAUGUGCCUGGAGCCUGUCCUGAAACUUAUGUGGUCACUAAUGUGACCGCAAAAUGGAGGUGAAACAUUUCUCUUCUGGUUUCGCAGCCACCGCGCGCCCGCGGUUACACCUGCCUCCCUCGCACCACCCAAGAGGAGCCACAGAGUCCCUGUAACAUUUCUGGGUACUGUUUUCAGUACAACAAGAGCUUUAGACCCAGAUGUAAGUUCUUUGCCUAACCUGCUGCUGUUCCCCUUAUGAAUUGAAGGUGGUUUGAUAAACAUACUGAAAGGUCAGCUAUUUUCACUGUGGCUUGCAUAAGAACCUCAACAUCCCCUGCUUCAAGAGCAGCCUUAGUAACUUCCUACUGCAACACUGAAUCACAAUAGCUUCCCACAGCAACCAGUGGUAAAAAUAAACUGGGCAAGGGGAAGUGGACAGCUUCUGCUGUUCCGCUUUCUUGGGCACACUUGAGUCACGAAAAAAAGCGAUGUAGAACAAGGCGUUUAUUUUGCUGAUGCCGAUGAAAUCCACAAAUGGUUCGGAGCGCAGUCCUGCUGAAAUCGGUGUGUUUUGCAACGGGAUGCUCAGCGUGCUCAAAGUUAAGCAUGUGCUCAAGUGCUGUGUCCAGUCUGUAUUUUUCAUUAGGAUUUGGACUUAUGAGUUAGACUAAAAGGAGACAGGGACCUCAGCAGAGCCAAGUGCUGCUUUUGUACUAAAGACAGAGGAGAAUGGCCUCCAUGGGAUAUUUUAUGUGUCGAGGGCAUAUAAAAGACCACUGAGGAGACAGUGGCUCUGUUAUGGUUUCAGUAGUAGAUCUUAGCUUUGAGAAAAGUAGGUCUUGACUGGAUAAAAAGUGUCCUUAAAUACAAUAUGAUUGUAUUUUUGCCUUGACAUACUGUCAUUUGAACAGCACAAUUUUAAACAACAUUAAGACUAA